CAAUAGCGUAUAUUUAAGUUGUUGCAGUUAAAAAGCUCGUAGUUGGAUUUCGGUUAAGAGCGACCGGUCCGCCGUUUGGUGUGCACUGGUUGGUUUUAACUUCCUGUAGAGGACGUGCUCUGGGUUUAACGACCUGGACUCGGAGUCUACGUGGUUACUUUGAAAAAAUUAGAGUGUUCAAAGCGGGCUUACGCUUGAAUAUUUCAGCAUGGAAUAACACUAUAGGACUCCUGUCCUAUUUCGUUGGUCUCGGAACGGGAGUAAUGAUUAAGAGGAACAGUUGGGGGCAUUCGUAUUUCAUUGUCAGAGGUGAAAUUCUUGGAUUUAUGAAAGACGAACUUCUGCGAAAGCAUUUGCCAAGGAUGUUUUCAUUAA
rnacentral:rRNA from 1 species